UACAGAGGUCUCAAGCGUUGUUCGGAAUCACUGGGCUUAAAGCGUGUGUAGGCGGACUUCUAAGUACCUUGUGAAAUCCCACGGCUCAACCGUGGAACUGCUUGGUAUACUGGUUGUCUUGAGCCACUUAGGGGCAGUCGGAACAGACGGUGGAGCGGUGAAAUGCGUAGAUAUCGCUUGGAACGCCGACGGUGAAAACAGUCUGCUGGGGGUGUGCUGACGCUGAGACACGAAAGCCAGGGGAGCGAACGGG
rnacentral:rRNA from 1 species